AGUGAACGCUGGCGGUAGGCCUAACACAUGCAAGUCGAACGGCAGCACAGUAAGAGCUUGCUCUUACGGGUGGCGAGUGGCGGACGGGUGAGGAAUACAUCGGAAUCUACUUUUUCGUGGGGGAUGACGUAGGGAAACUUACGCUAAUACCGCAUACGACCUACGGGUGAAAGCAGGGGAUCUUCGGACCUUGCGCGAUUGAAUGAGCCGAUGUCGGAUUAGCUAGUUGGCGGGGUAAAGGCCCACCAAGGCGACGAUCCGUAGCUGGUCGGAGAGGAUGAUCAGCCACACUGGAACUGAGACACGGUCCAGACUCCUACGGGAGGCAGCAGUGGGGAAUAUUGGACAAUGGGCGCAAGCCUGAUCCAGCCAUACCGCGUGGGUGAAGAAGGCCUUCGGGUUGUAAAGCCCUUUUGUUGGGAAAGAAAAGCAGCAGGUUAAUACCCCGCUGUUCUGACGGUACCCAAAGAAUAAGCACCGGCUAACUUCGUG
rnacentral:rRNA from 1 species